AUGACUAUCGGUGAUCUGGCCUCAGAUGAACCGGUUCUGAUGCAGACGGAUGGUCCUGCCUCACGCGAAUCAACUCCGACGACUACUGGUGAUGUGGCCUCGGUUGGGAUGGCUCUGGUGGCUACUGAUGUUGCCGCCCUAUCACCGACCACUAUCGGUGAUGUGUCUUUAGAUGGACUUGUUCCAUUGGCCACCGAUGCUGCCGCCUCGAUGACAUCACCCACAAAUUUCAUGGGGCACUGGCUCUCUUGCUUGUGGAGCUCGUUUGACUUCUUCAAAAAUUGUUGUAGAUCCAUCUUCUACUGGUUAGUUCACGUGAUUGAGAUUGCCAGCUUUUACAGAGACUGGUCCUAUGACAUAAUUCACAUCACAAGUAAGAAGGAGAAUGACACUGCAUUAGAUUUUGUCCUCACUGCUAUCUCAAGAUGGAAAUUGAAGAAAAGAAUAGAGAAUGUAGAAAACACCGUCAAUGAACUGAAGAACUCACCACUCUUGGACGUGUCAAGCAACAAUGCACCAAAUGAUAAUGCCAACAAGAACAGGAGCAGAAUUAGAACUGCUAGCACGCGGAAGGUAUUUGGCCGAAAGGUGUUGCUUGAUGAUAUCAUGGCAAAACUCCGUGAGACACCAAAGAUCUUGGGUACUGAUUCAUGUUACUCUGUUAUUGGCAUAUAUGGUGUUCCAGGGUCUGGGAAGACUACCUUUGCACGGUAUACUCGAGAUUACAUAGAGCAGGAAUGCAAGGAGGAUAAACUUUUUGACACCAUCAUGUGCAUUCAUCUGUCCAAGACUUUUAGUGUGGAUGAUGUAUUCCAUGAAAUGUUGAAGGAUAUUACAAAUAAUCAGCACUCUGAAAUUUCAGAUCGUGAGGAGCUGGAAGAGAAGUUAAAGGAAUCAUUGAGUGGCAAACGUUUCUUCUUGAUAUUGGAUGACCUCUGGGUGACGAACAAGAACGACCCACAACUCGAGGAAUUGAAGUCUAUGCUCAAUGCUGGGAUGAAAGGGAGCAAAAUCUUGGUUACGGCUCGAACAAAACUUGCAGCUGGAGCUCUUUGUGCUGAUGAGCUGAUUGAAAUGCCUGAUUUGGAUGAGGAUGAAUACUUCAGGAUGUUUAUGUAUUAUGCAAUGAAUGGUAGGAGUGAUCCUAAUGAAGAAGAAUUUUCACGAGUUGGUAGGGUGAUUGCAGAAAAGCUACACCAAUCACCUAUUGCGGCAGUAGCAGUAGCAGGGCGACUUGGGGCAAACCUGGAUAUCAAGUUUUGGAAAAAUACUGCAAACCUUGGUAUAUUGAAUAACACCGUGAAUGCUCUUUGGUGGAGCUAUCAGCUUCUUAAUCCGGACAUCAGGCGAUGCUUAGAAAUGUCCAAUAUUUUCUCCCGAAGAGCCAAGUUGCAAAGGGUCAAGUUAGUUCACAUGUGGAUAGCACAAGGCUUCAUAAGGACCAGCUGUGAAACAGAGGACAUGGAAGAUGUAGCCGAGUGCUACAUUCAAGAGUUAGUGUCAUGCUCAUUUCUGCAACCGGAAGGAACUUGUUCAGUUUCUGCCACUGCCACUGAGUGCUUUAGAAUUCAUGAUCUGCUGCAUGACAUUAUAGAAAAGGUAGCAGGAAGGCACUGCUUAAUAAUUGACAAUGAAAGUAGCCUGAGAGGAGGGAAAGGAUAUAACCCUGAAGAUGUGCAUCAUCUUUUGGUUGAAAAUUAUGAUGCAGAGUUGAUUACCAAGAUGAUCCAUGGGAUGGGAAAUUUACGCACUCUCCUCAUUUAUGAUGAUAGAAAGGAUAUACUAGUGGAGGAAAAAUUCAUUGAGAACUUGUGCAUGAGGCUGCCCAAGCUGCGGGAAUUCGCUGUUACUUACACAGGUGGUAGAACAGGGGAACCCAAUAAGUUCUUCUUCCCAGAGGCUAUUAGUAUGUUAAAGCAUCUACGUGAUUUUGUUUUCUGGAUAGAGGGUCCAUGUACGGUUGUUUUUCCAGUCGCACUAACUAAACUUCACCAUCUCCGGCUGCUAAAUCUUGGUGCCAGUGAAAAAGUGGAGUUUACCUCUCUUGACCUUCUCAAUUUGCAGCACAUAAUCUGGAAGUGCAUGAACUUUCCUAACGUAGGCAAGCUGACCUCACUCCAAACAUUGUCAUACUUCAUAGUAAGGAAUGAAAAAGGUUAUGAGGUAAAUCAGCUAAGGGAUCUGAACAAGCUUCGCGGCAAAUUGAACAUCAGUGGGCUUGAGAAUGUUAAAAGCAAGGAGGAAGCUCUUGAAGCCAAUCUAACUGCCAAGGAAGGGAUCGCGACACUGGUGCUGGAAUGGGAUGGUGAUGACACAGUGUGCAGUCCAGAAGUCCAAGCAGAAGUACUUGAGGGCCUGUGUCCUCCCACUGGGCUUGAAACACUAAAAUUGGUGGUUACAAUGGUUCGAGGUACCCAUAUUGGAUGGUGCGUAAGGAGACCGGUGGCCCCAAUAACCUGCAAAGACUUGAAUUAUCUGGAUGGAAACAACCGGGACCUGGUCCGGAGCUCGUGGCUUUCAUUCAUCUUCGUGUGCUAUGGCUUACCAGCUUCAGCUGGGACACCUUACCAGGCAACUUGGAGCACCUCAUAUCGCUCAAAGAACUUUUUAUUUAUUUCUGUCGUCGUUACAGCAAUGUCCAGUGGCUUCCAACACUGCCCCAGUCUAUUGAGGAGUUUCAUCUUAGGUCCUGCAAUCAUGAGUUGA
rnacentral:rRNA from 1 species